rnacentral:rRNA from 1 species
UCUCAUUCGGAUUGGAGUCUGCAACCCGACUCCAUGAAGCUGGAUUCGCUAGUAAUCGCGCAUCAGCCACGGCGCGGUGAAUACGUUCCCGGGCCUUGUACACACCGCCCGUCAAGCCAUGGAAGCCGGGAGUGCCUGAAGUGCGUGAGCGCAAGCAGCGCCCUAAGGUAAAACCGGUGACUGGGGCUAAGUCGUAACAAGGUACC